GGGCCGGUGGUCUAGCGGCUAUGACGCCGCCCUCACACGGCGGAGGUCGUGGGUUCGAGUCCCACCCGGCCCACCA
rnacentral:tRNA from 1 species